rnacentral:tRNA from 1 species
GCAUAGUGGUUAAAGCUCUUGGCUGCUAACCAGAAGUUUGGUGGUUCAAACCCACC